rnacentral:rRNA from 1 species
CGAACGGGUGAGUAAUGCAUCGGAACGUGCCCAGUCGUGGGGGAUAACGCAGCGAAAGCUGUGCUAAUACCGCAUACGAUCUAUGGAUGAAAGCGGGGGAUCGCAAGACCUCGCGCGAUUGGAGCGGCCGAUGUCAGAUUAGCUAGUUGGUGGGGUAAAGGCCCACCAAGGCGACGAUCUGUAGCUGGUCUGAGAGGACGACCAGCCACACUGGGACUGAGACACGGCCCAGACUCCUACGGGAGGCAGCAGUGGGGAAUUUUGGACAAUGGGCGCAAGCCUGAUCCAGCAAUGCCGCGUGCAGGAAGAAGGCCUUCGGGUUGUAAACUGCUUUUGUACGGAACGAAAAGGUCUGGGUUAAUACCCUGGGCUCAUGACGGUACCGUAAGAAUAAGCACCGGCUAACUACGUGCCAGCAGCCGCGGUAAUA